CUUGUAAUGGCUUAUCACUCACACCUGGUGGUGCAAUAAGAUCCCUUUAAUGGUCACAUUCAGAGCGGUUUGGAGAAAAGUUUUCUUAGAGCAAUUAUGGAAUAUAGUUCUAUAUUUAUUAACCUCCACCUCAAGUUUUUGUAAAAAAUUCUUAAUAGACCAUUUUCUUGGUGAACUACUUGAAUCCUAGACGUCACAAAUACACCAACUUCAAAAGGUCACUUUUACACUUUAAUUCACUUUAUUAAAACCAUACGCACACACACACACACGGAGCAACACACUUUAGAGAUUCAAUACGGGAAAGGCACUGUGUGCAUCAAUAUUCUGCGAGUGAGGAUUUCUUAACACACACACAUCUCAAAGAAAAAAAAAAAAUCUGAUCUGUCAUUUCAGACAAACUAAAGACUUGUCGGCAGGUAUCUAUGACAACACUACAUCAGCAAUUAGAAUGACACUUCAGGAUGCUAUCCAACGAACACCCUUUGAGGCGUUCAGUACAAAUGGCCGUGUCUGAAGUGUAAAUACAUCGCAGACAGCCGCUGUUUAAAAGCCCAGUUGUACCUUCUGAAAGUCAAACGUCACAACACGCAUUGCAAUGUUAUAUAUAAUGAACACACUGAUGGAAUGAAACUCAAAAGUGUAUGUUCAAUAUACAAUAGAAACCUUACGUCAAAUCAUUCUCUAGAACUGCACAAAGUUCCUUCCUGGCUAGGGCAUGCACACCCAAAGAGUAAGAAAAACCCUACAAAAAUAGACCUUUCCGCAUUUUACAAUUUUUACUGAGUCUCCUCGGAAACAUCCAAAAGCAUAAACAUCGCAAGUUGUCCAAUUGUCUUUAUACAAGAGUUAUUCUCUAUAGAAAGAUAGAUCAUCGCUAUUCACAUAUUGACAAAGAAAUCCGAUCGUGUUCCUUUCAUCAUCAUGUGGGCCAAGUGUCUUGUUGAGUCAAACCAUAUAACCGUAUUUAAAGUCAUUUAAAUGCUUGGCUUACACACACACACACGCACACUAAACAUGCAUCCUCCGGUGCAACAAAACACACGCAACUCAACCAACAGGCCAAUCGAAACAUUCUGGGGAGCUAUGUGGGAAAAUGAAAAUAUACUUUAAUGAACUAAAAACAGCUCGCCAUUCUAAUGAAUAACAAGAUUUAAUUUUUUUGCAUUCACGAAACAUCUCCACACACACACACACACACACACACACACACACACACACACACACACACACACACACACACACACACACACACACACACACACACACACACACACGGAAUGAUAGGUAUACAACAUAUUUCCAUCACAUGGCAACAGAGACACCAUAUCCAAGCGGCUGUAUAAGAGUCGGGGCAGUAGUCUUGAGUCUUCAGCGUCCAUCCCUAACCUUUCCAUCGGUCCGAUCUGGUCGCCACAUGCCCCCUCACCCCUCACCCCUACUCCGAAGACGACACAGAACAAUCAUGGCCGACGUGUCAAGACGAUCUCCGAAUCCAAAAGGGUCCUUGGUUCUGCAUGAUUUGGUGGUAGUUCCCGGACUCAGCGGCCGUUUCUCCCCAGACACGCCUGUCAGCAUCACCCCCCCAUCCCCAAAUCCCCCCGCCCCCAGCACGACGCUUUCUGACUGAGUCGUUCCCAUGUUGACUUGCGUCCUGUUAAGUGCAAGGGCAUGCCCGUGUUGCAUCACGUCAACCUCAACAAUCCUCCUCCGCGGCCCCUUUUUUUAAAAAAAAGAAAGAAAAAAGGAAAAAGGCGCCGUAGCCGUUCACUGUGCCCGGGUGUCAGGACACACCCGUGUCUUCCUGCGUUGGUCCGCGUCACUGGACGUCGAUGAGGUGCCUGAGGUAGGACUGGGUGAGCCCGCGCAGCUCCUCCAGGGCAUAGUCUUCGGGCAUGGGCAGCCGCGUGAUGAGGGCCGUCAGCUUGGCGUGGGGCGGCUGGAGGAGGGGGUCGGCGCCCCCCUCCUCGGCCUGCUGCAGGCUCAGCACCACCCGCAGGAUGUUGGCCACGCGCUUGGCCAUCUCUGGAGGGGGGGGGGAGGUUAGGUCAGGGCUGCUCAGGAGAGGGGUAGGGGGUACUUAGGGGUACUUUGUGGGAACGCAGGGGGGAAAUUGGACAAUUUCACAAAUGUUUCUGUAAUCUUUUAGUAAAUAUUGGUUAUGGAUAAAUGUCCAACAAUGCUUUAAUAAAACGGUUUGAUUCUGAAAACCACGUUAAUGAAAUGAAGUUAAUCUGAAUACUUAAUCUGCAUAAGAGUGUGGUAAAUCUGUCCAAUGAAAAGGCAUUGAUAUAAAAAGGCAAAAGUGAAGCACAAGCCCAUGUUCCU
ensembl:lncRNA